rnacentral:rRNA from 1 species
UACGUAGGGCGCAAGCGUUAUCCGGAAUUACUGGGCGUAAAGCGCGCGCAGGUGGUCCGGUAAGUCGGGUGUGAAAUCCCGGGGCUCAACCUCGGAAGUGCACACGAUACUGCCGGACUCGAGUACUGGAGAGGAGAGCGGAAUUCCCGGUGUAGAGGUGAAAUUCGUAGAUAUCGGGAGGAACACCAGUGGCGAAGGCGGCUCUCUGGACAGAUACUGACACUGAGGCGCGAAAGCGUGGGAAGCAAACAGG